CACAACGUUUGACAGAUUAGCUUUCAUAUUUGUAUAAAGAUGCAUCGUUGUAAAAGACGUGUCUGUAAAAGAAAGACACUUUUCGGACAACCUAAUACUAUCACUUCUACUAAAUUCUCCUCAUUUCAAUUACCUUUGGAUAAUAAAUACAUAUAUAAAAUUAUACGCGUUUUUGCAAUAAAUUACGCCAGAAAAUAUUGAUUAACAUUUGAUAUCCAAAUAAUGAAACAAUUCAGAGAAAAAUCCUCUUGUUCGGUAAAUAUAUUAAUAUAUAAACAUUUCAGGAUAACAACGAGUCAGAUAAGAUGAUAUAUUAUUCAAAUAAUAUAUUUUACUUAAAUAAUGGUCAAUUUAUCAUAAAUAGCAUCACGGUCAAUAUAUAAUAUUUACUUGGAAAUCGCUUGCUUAAAAAUUAUCUAAUUAAAGAACUAAAAUAAAGUCAAGUAUCAUUGUAUAUAAAUCAAAUAUGUAUGACAUACGACUUCAUUAUUAUUAACAAAAAUUACUGGUGGACGGGAACAAUUGUAAUUCAUAAAGAAGAUUAUAUCAGACAUACAUAUUUGUAUGAGCUGCCUUGCUUAUUUUUUGUACAUUUCGUUUAACUCAGAAAUAUGUGCAUAUGUUUGUUACAUCAUUGUUACUGCUUAUAUAAAGAAGAAUAAAUUUCAAUGUCAUAUGACCUAAAGUUAAAACCUAUGGUGAGCGCGUAUAUAAGAAAAUUAAGCUAUAGCCAAAUGUUGCAACUUACAGAUCAAAUGUAUAAUAUAGAUACUAUUAUUUCUCUAAUUAUUAAAAAUACACAAAAUAUUUUCAUAUGAAAAUUGUUUAAUCUAGCAGAGAUUAUUCAAUUUAACAGAAUUAUAUUUAGAUUGUUGCAGAUAUUUUAGUAUGAAUGUAUUUCCAUCCUUUUGUGACGCCUUUUCUUCUUUUUUCGGGAAAUUUAUUGAAAUGGUAAUUUAUUGAAUAUCUCAAUGCCAUCAUGACAUUUUCAAUAGUACUGAAGUAUAACACUUGCCACCAAUAUUCACAGAGACAUUCAAUAAAUUAUUGUUACAUACAGAGUGUAUCAUCUAGAAUAUUUCCAUUGUGAAAUAAAAUUUGAAAAAAAAAUUUCCUAUAAAAGUUCUAUAACUUUGUAGAAGCCGAUAUAUAGUAAAAAUAGUUUUAUUAUGCGUUACAAACGGUUAAUGAGAUAAAAAGGUCGAUUUUGUUUUCUUAAAUAGAAUGUUAUAUUUUGUUUACUUGUAAGUAAUAGACAAACUCGACCACCUAUAAUCUAAGUAUUUUAAGGUCAGCGAAAACAAAAUUUUCUGUUUAACUUUUGAUGCUGCUGGCUGAGGUAAUACUGUUAAUUGCAAGUAAAAGCUGUUACACACUAUCGACCAGUUGCCAGAGACACUGCACUGGGUUUAACCGUUCAACAAAAUAUACAUACAUACAAGGUUGUAAGUAUGUACGCUAUACGCAUUUGAUCACAGCGACCACGAAACACGAAUGACGCGACGCAAAGGUGCGGGCGACAAAUGAAAUGAUAUGUUGAAUCAUAUGCACGAGUUUACAUGACAAACUUUCUGACUGAUCUGACAUAGGCGAACCAUUGAUAAUUUAACAAUUUGCUCGAAAUUCAUUCUGUUCGACGGUCACUAUAAUGCCGACAGCUUUCGAGAUUCGAGCCACCGAGCUUGGAUGCUUGAUUGCUUGGUUUUUAAUCUCUCAUCGACAACUCCAUCCAAGCUGCUGCAUUAAUUCUUCCAUGACUCAGUGAUAUUUAAAACGUUAGGACAUGUUCAAAAAUAAGUGAACUAUCUCAAGAAUCGAAGAUGAAACGAAACGUCACUUCUGAAGCAGUGCCACAGCAAGUUAAGUAGAAAACUUCGUUAUACGACCUUUGUUAACCUUGCAGUACUUAGUGUUGCAGAAACUUUACAGCUAAACGAAACGCAACAUUCUUUGAAAAAAAAAAAGAAAAACAGAUUUGAUCGUUUCAUCACGUCAAUCUUCUACAACGCUAUACAAAUAUUUUUACUAUCCACUUGCUACUACAAAACUACGCAAUUUUUGUAGGAAAUAUUUUAGAUGAUGAUGGAACUAGAUGCUACAUCCUGCAUAUGUACAUAUGUAUAUAUGUAUAUAUAAUACGUUGUUAAACACAUUGUGAAAUACUUAAUAAAUAAAAAUGAUAAAAUUAUAUAAUUCUUUUUUACAAAAUA